CAUUUUCUCCUGUCUGAAGACCUCAGAGCCUAAUUCCAUUUCAUAGCAUAGAUCUUGUUUGUUUUUGACUGGAGCUCAAUUGCUUGGCAUGAAAAUGAUGAUGCUUGCUGUAGAUUCCCUGACUCUAAACUGGGACCUUGUCACAGGCUGGCUGGCGCUUUAAGGGGAGCUGGGCUCAGCCUUGCCUGUGAGGUAAUAGCCAUGCACCAGCUGACCCUGAUGUAGUGAUUUAAUGACACCCAAUAGCCCAGGCUGUGAAAGGGUCAGGGUGGACUACAAAGAGAGAGCGAGCAGAAAGAACUCAGCCAUAGAACACAGCCCAUGAAGUAGGCUGCUGAAGGGAGCCAUAGUGAGCAAUAGAUGUCUGUCUAUCAAGGAUGAGCCAAGGAAAAAGGAAAGGUAGUUCUGUGGGCUAGUGUUCUAGAGGAGGACCAAGGAGCCUAGACAGAUCUAGGGAGAAGGCUGAGGGUAUGUCUAUAUUGCAGCUGGAAGUGAGCCUCCUUGCCUCCCACUACUAUGCUAAAAAUAGCUGUGUGGAUGCUGCUGUGGCAAUAGCAGAGGCUCAGGCUAGCCGCUCAAGCCCACCUUGGUUUGAGCCUAUAGGAUAGGCUGAGAAGUAUCCCAAGAGAGGCUGAAGGAUCUCUUAUUGGGACUUGUGAACUUCUACCUGGACUUCUGUUACCCCAGAAGGGGCUGGACUAGAUGUGGCUUAGCCACAGAGCAAGUUUGGAUGGAAACAGUCCACUGUGGGACCAAAGUGGCUGAUAACCGAGGUGCUAGAUGCAGAUACCUUCAGCAUGAUGCUCUAACACUACAGCAGUGAGUGGAACUGCCUACAGGCUCUCAAGGACAACUGUUAAGAAAAAAGACCCUCAACCUCUACUGCCUGCUGUUCUUCAGGAAUUCGAUCCCUGGCCCAAGGUACCAAGGUGGGUCUGGUACCAGAAGAAGAGGGAUGAAAGACUGAAACAACAGCAUACUGACAGGCAAGAUGAAAGGCUGGGACUCACCACCCCAGUACAGAACAGGGUUUCAGUGAUGGGGCUGUCACCUGGAAAGCAGUUCCUGGAACAGGAAUGGUGGCUUAGGGAGGGAGACACGGCUGCUACUCUGAAAAGAGCUCAACAGGGAACUGUUUCAGCGACUCCUGUCCAUAAUGGCUGCCAGAAUACCAUCUCCUGUUGCCUCCCCUACACCACAGCACAAUCACCCUGCAACAUACCUCAGAUUCAUACAGGAUUCAAAAGCAGUGGGGCAGGACAACUAAACUCCAUGCAGCCUUCCUUCUUCAACUCUUUUCUAAUGGAAACAUCCACCUCCCUACCCCACUGCCAAGUGAAGGGAAAAUGUGUAAAGAAGGGAAAGGAGAACAUGGGGCCAGAGAACAUGUAGUGGCAUGGGGAUUAUGUCAGGGACGAUAGGAGCUGAACUAACUUGCUGUGUUCAUGAGAAGCCAAUAAAAACAGCUUAAUUCUUGUAACAAUAUUUAAAGGGAAAUUAAUAUGUGACAACACAUUAAUGAGGUUCUCUGACAUGGCUCUUGAGAACAUGAAAAAGAGAAUAAGAGGCCACAAUUAACAUAUACUACAUUUAAUGGUAUAUAUUACUGACCCAUGUGUAAGGCCAAACUCUUCCCUGGUGUAAACUGGCACAGUUUCUUUGACUUAAAUGGAACCAUGCCAAUUGACACCAGCAGAAAAUUUGGCUCAUUAAAUUGAUGCCCACAUGGCAGAAUUAAGACUUGCAAGCUGUCUCAUUGAACAAUGCACACGAGAGCUGUAUCCCAGCAUUUGACAGCUAGAAAAAAUCUGAUGGACAUACACACACUGCACAAGGAUAAAAAUCUUUCUCUUGCUUUGGUCUGGUUUAGGGUUGGAAAUGAAGGGUUGGGACUGGAAGGAAAGAAGCAGUAAUGUUUAUUCAAGUUGUCUGGUUUUAAUAUUAAAACACUUAUCUCCAUUAGAUUUCAGCUUUGGUGUUAACACACUUACCCACCUCUUCUCACUGUGAAGGGCUUUAAUGGAUUCAUGAGCUUUUAACAAUUCUGCCUUAAUAGAGGCUAUUGCCUAAGGAAAAAAGAGAGAAGAUUCUGUUUUGAAUUUUACCAGUGUCGUGCUUGUAAUCAUAUUUGCUGUGUAAACCUUGCUGUAAGCAGUAAUAUCAUAUUUAGGAUAUGUCUACAUUACAGUUUUUGCCUUGAGUUAUUUCACUGCCAUUAACUUGAGGUAUUAGCACAUUUCUAACAGUCUGGAUACUUCUCUAGGGAUCACACUUUUCCACUGUGCCAGGAAGCAGAUCCUCAGGAACCCCUAAGCAUCUUGAUUUAGCACGUCUAGUACAGUUCUCGUACAUCCUAUAUCUACCUUCUGACAAAACAGGACUCUAGGACUUCCAAUCUGUGUCUUUUAAAGCAGCACUGAAAAACCAGCAUGGUGUCAUAGUAGAACACAAAAGGAGGAUAAAGCUCCUCAGAAAGAAUUCUCAGCCCAUGGAGAAACUAACAAGUCAACAGCCAGCAUGACAAAACCCCAGGCUAC